UCGGCGCUGCUCUCUCGGGAUGUCGGGACUGGCCUUCGCAGCUCUCGUUCUUUGUCUCCACAUAACGGCGGGUGGGUCCCAGCAGUUUACUAUUAUCGUUGAGCACAGCCAGAUAAAUGUCACCGCUGGAGGUGAAGCGCUUUUUUCAGUCCGGCCGUCGUCCAGCGUCAACAGUGGAAGCUGGAAUUUUAAUGGGAUAACAGUCGCCCAGUGGAUCGGUCAGACCGGGACUGUUGAUAAUUCCUACAGUUCACGGGCAGAGGUAUUCACCUCCAACGGGUCGCUUCUGCUGAAGUCGGUGAGCAUGUCGGACAGCGGGGAAUACCGUGUGGAUAUGGUUCCAACAAAUGGGUCCCAGACCUCAGCGACCGUCACUCUGCGUGUCACUGAACCAGGGCCAGUGACCGGGGUUGCCGUGGUGACCAAUAAUUCCACUCCCCUGGAAAACCUCGAUACCGUCGCACUGAGUUGUGUCGCGUCGGGCUCUGUUCAGACACGGACAUGGUUCAAGGACAACCAACCCAUCCAGGAAAACGGCAGAAUAUUUACAUCUCCCGACAGGGCGAAACUGACUAUAAUCAGAGUUAACAGAAACGACGUCGGGACGUACAAGUGCAUCGUCAGCAACUCUUUCAGCAGUGGCGCUGGAGAGACCUACGUGGAGGUUUACUGCAAGUACACAGCAAAAACAGAUGGCAAUUGCACCCUCGGCUCUGGCGCAAUCGUGGGCAUUCUACUUGGUUUACUUGGCAUGGGCCUGAUCGGCGGAGUCAAUGGAUGGUUGAUCGCGAUGAAAUCCGGCGGGUAUAUGCAUGCUUUCUCCUAAUAUAGCCUCUACUUUUAAUUGGUGCGGUAGAAUUCUGUUUUCUUUUUCUUUUUAUUUUUUUGCAAAAGUGAUAUACCAAAAGCUUUAAUGCGAGUUUGAGAUGCGACAGGUGGAUGAAACAAAUUACACAAGCUGGAGAAGGAAAUACAUAAAUACUUGCUGACGGUUCAUGUGCAAGGCUCAGGAAUGGAACACGAACGGUGCAUGGGUGGAGAGGUUCAACAGGCACUGACAUCCUUUCGGAUCAAUGAUCCCCCACAAUCCCAGGACUACACAAGCGUCAAUUCCGGAAGGAAGAGCACCUUGGAUACAAACACCGUGAACGCAUCGGGAACUUAUGAAAAUCUCUCAAGGAAUGAACAGGGCGCAAGGC